AGUUAAAAAGCUCGUAGUCGGAUUUCAGUUUACUUUCGCCCAAACUUUUUGUUAGGGUGUUAAGUCUACUUCAUGGGAGAAUCUCUCAUGAUAUUUAUUUAUUGUGGGCCGAAACUUCCUCAUUUACUUUGAGAAAAUUAGAGUGUUCAAAGCAGGUAUCAAGCCUGAAUAUUACUCUUGGAAUAAUAAUAUAGGACUCGCGUGUUCUAGUUUGUUGGUGUACUGGGACCGGAGUAAUGAUUGAUAGGGACAGUUGGGGUCAUUCAUACUGCAAAGCGAGAGGUGAAAUUCUUGGACCUUUGUAUGAUGAACAACUGCGAAAGCAUUUGACUAGGAUGUUCCCGUUGAUCAAGAACAAAGUUGGGGGAUCGAAGACGAUCAGAUACCGUCGUAGUCUCAACCAUAAACUAUGCCAGCUAGGGAUGGGAAGAUGUUUACAAACGACUCUUUCCGCACCUUAUGAGAAAUCAAAGCAUCUGGGUUCCGGGGGGAGUAUGGUCGCAAGGCUGAAACUUAAAGGAAUUGACGGGAGGGCACCACCAGGAGUGGAGCCUGUGGCUUAAUUUGACUCAACACGGGAAAACUUACCAGGUCCGGACAUAGUAAAGAUUGACAGAUUGAAAGCUCUUUCU
rnacentral:rRNA from 1 species